rnacentral:rRNA from 1 species
CGGACGGGUGAGUAAUGCCUGGGAAACUGCCUGAUGGAGGGGGAUAACUACUGGAAACGGUAGCUAAUACCGCAUAACGUCGCAAGACCAAAGAGGGGGACCUUCGGGCCUCUUGCCAUCGGAUGUGCCCAGAUGGGAUUAGCUAGUAGGUGGGGUAACGGCUCACCUAGGCGACGAUCCCUAGCUGGUCUGAGAGGAUGACCAGCCACACUGGAACUGAGACACGGUCCAG